rnacentral:rRNA from 1 species
GGACCCGCACAAGUAGUGGAGCAUGUGGUUUAAUUCGAAGAUACGCGCAGAACCUUACCAACACUUGACAUGUUCGUCGCGACUUUAAGAGAUUAAAGUUUUCGGUUCGGCCGGACGAAACACAGGUGCUGCAUGGCUGUCGUCAGCUCGUGUCGUGAGAUGUUGGUUAAGUCCCGCAACGAGCGCAACCCUCACUUUUAGUUGCCAUCAUUAAGUUGGGCACUCUGAAAGAACUGCCAGUGAUAAGCUGGAGGAAGGUGGGGAUGACGUCAAGUCCUCAUGGCCCUUACGUGUUGGGCUACACACGUGCUACAAUGGUAUCUACAACAGGAAGCAAGACGGCGACGUUAAGCA